AGAGUUUGAUCCUGGCUCAGGACGAACGCUGGCGGCGUGCCUAAUACAUGCAAGUCGAACGCUUCUUUUUCCACCGGAGCUUGCUCCACCGGAAAAAGAGGAGUGGCGAACGGGUGAGUAACACGUGGGUAACCUGCCCAUCAGAAGGGGAUAACACUUGGAAACAGGUGCUAAUACCGUAUAACAAUCGAAACCGCAUGGUUUUGAUUUGAAAGGCGCUUUCGGGUGUCGCUGAUGGAUGGACCCGCGGUGCAUUAGCUAGUUGGUGAGGUAACGGCUCACCAAGGCGACGAUGCAUAGCCGACCUGAGAGGGUGAUCGGCCACAUUGGGACUGAGACACGGCCCAAACUCCUACGGGAGGCAGCAGUAGGGAAUCUUCGGCAAUGGACGAAAGUCUGACCGAGCAACGCCGCGUGAGUGAAGAAGGUUUUCGGAUCGUAAAACUCUGUUGUUAGAGAAGAACAAGGAUGAGAGUAACUGUUCAUCCCUUGACGGUAUCUAACCAGAAAGCCACGGCUAACUACGUGCCAGCAGCCGCGGUAAUACGUAGGUGGCAAGCGUUGUCCGGAUUUAUUGGGCGUAAAGCGAGCGCAGGCGGUUUCUUAAGUCUGAUGUGAAAGCCCCCGGCUCAACCGGGGAGGGUCAUUGGAAACUGGGAGACUUGAGUGCAGAAGAGGAGAGUGGAAUUCCAUGUGUAGCGGUGAAAUGCGUAGAUAUAUGGAGGAACACCAGUGGCGAAGGCGGCUCUCUGGUCUGUAACUGACGCUGAGGCUCGAAAGCGUGGGGAGCAAACAGGAUUAGAUACCCUGGUAGUCCACGCCGUAAACGAUGAGUGCUAAGUGUUGGAGGGUUUCCGCCCUUCAGUGCUGCAGCUAACGCAUUAAGCACUCCGCCUGGGGAGUACGACCGCAAGGUUGAAACUCAAAGGAAUUGACGGGGGCCCGCACAAGCGGUGGAGCAUGUGGUUUAAUUCGAAGCAACGCGAAGAACCUUACCAGGUCUUGACAUCCUUUGACCACUCUAGAGAUAGAGCUUCCCCUUCGGGGGCAAAGUGACAGGUGGUGCAUGGUUGUCGUCAGCUCGUGUCGUGAGAUGUUGGGUUAAGUCCCGCAACGAGCGCAACCCUUAUUGUUAGUUGCCAUCAUUUAGUUGGGCACUCUAGCAAGACUGCCGGUGACAAACCGGAGGAAGGUGGGGAUGACGUCAAAUCAUCAUGCCCCUUAUGACCUGGGCUACACACGUGCUACAAUGGGAAGUACAACGAGUCGCAAAGUCGCGAGGCUAAGCUAAUCUCUUAAAGCUUCUCUCAGUUCGGAUUGUAGGCUGCAACUCGCCUACAUGAAGCCGGAAUCGCUAGUAAUCGCGGAUCAGCACGCCGCGGUGAAUACGUUCCCGGGCCUUGUACACACCGCCCGUCACACCACGAGAGUUUGUAACACCCGAAGUCGGUGAGGUAACCUUUUGGAGCCAGCCGCCUAAGGUGGGAUAGAUGAUUGGGGUGAAGUCGUAACAAGGUA
rnacentral:rRNA from 1 species